rnacentral:rRNA from 1 species
CGGACGGGUGAGUAAUGUCUGGGAAACUGCCUGAUGGAGGGGGAUAACUACUAGAAACGGUAGCUAAUACCGCAUAACGUCGCAAGACCAAAGAGGGGGACCUUAGGGCCUCUUGCCAUCGGAUGUGCCCAGAUGGGAUUAGCUAGUAGGUGGGGUAACGGCUCACCUAGGCGACGAUCCCUAGCUGGUCUGAGAGGAUGACCAGCCACACUGGAACUGAGACACGGUCCAG